rnacentral:rRNA from 1 species
CAGUAGCCGCGGUAAUACGUAGGUGGCGAGCGUUGUCCGGAAUUAUUGGGCGUAAAGGGCUCGCAGGCGGUUUCUUAAGUCUGAUGUGAAAGCCCCCGGCUCAACCGGGGAGGGUCAUUGGAAACUGGGAAACUUGAGUGCAGAAGAGGAGAGUGGAAUUCCACGUGUAGCGGUGAAAUGCGUAGAGAUGUGGAAGAACACCAGUGGCGAAGGCGACUCUCUGGUCUGUAACUGACGCUGAGGAGCGAAAGCGUGGGGAGCGAACAGGAUUAGAUACCCCAGUAGUCCCUGUCUCUUAUAC